rnacentral:rRNA from 1 species
AUUGAACGCUGGCGGCAUGCCUUACACAUGCAAGUCGAACGGCAGCGGGGUAGUGCUUGCACUACUGCCGGCGAGUGGCGAACGGGUGAGUAAUAUAUCGGAACGUACCGAGUAAUGGGGGAUAACCAAUCGAAAGAUUGGCUAAUACCGCAUACGUCCUGAGGGAGAAAGCGGGGGAUCGCAAGACCUCGCGUUAUUCGAGCGGCCGAUAACUGAUUAGCUAGUUGGUGGGGUAAAGGCCUACCAAGGCGACGAUCAGUAGCGGGUCUGAGAGGACGAUCCGCCACACGGGGACUGAGACACGGCCCAGACUCCUACGGGAGGCAGCAGUGGGGAAUUUUGGCCAAUGGGGGCAACCCUGAUCCAGCCAUGCCGCGUGUAUGAAGAAGGCCUUCGGGUUGUAAAGUACUCUUGUUAGGGAAGAAAAGGGAAGUGCUAAUACCACUUUUUGCUGACGGUACCUAAAGAAUAAGCACCGGCUAACUACGU